CUCUGCCUCCAGUAUAAAGGGAGGCCUUGUUGUUUAAUGAAGUGCUUAGGACUUGGACUCAGAAAGACCUAGGUUCAAAUUCUUCCUUAGUUACUGUCUAUGUGACUCUGGGCUCAGUGAUCCAUCUCAAGCAGAAGGGAUAAAGAUAACAAAGACAUAUCCAGAGGGGAAGGAAAGAGGAAAAAAAAAAAUGAAAGGAUCCUCAGGUUUGAGCUGUGCAUCUGGAGCCCAGACCAACAGUGGAGGAGAGCCUAAAGGUGGGAUGGGUAGAAGCCCUUGAAACAAGGGGAAGAAGGAAGGCCAAGACUGAAGCAAAGUUGAUCUCUCAAUUCAAUUCAAUAAACAUUUAUU